GUGUUACAGCGACUGUGACUGGCGCGCACAGGUUGUCAGGCGCUGGAAGUUUUGCUUCAUGUUUUCUGAGGUUGUCUUCUGUAUUAGAUCCUGAGUUUGAAGAAAUAAAGAUUCAUGGGUUUGAAGCGAUAUGAGGUUUCCUGCUUGGGUGCUGUACUUACACAACAGCAGUGAUAUCAGUGAGCAAACUACUGACAAACUGAUACAGCAGUGCAUGUCAUAAUGGUGCAGACCAAAUAUUCUGCUUGUCUCAGUGUCAGAUAUGAAAAGACACUCAGAGAUCAAACAAUCCUGCAAGAGUCAAAGCUAUGGAGGCACAAAUAAAACGGUAAGCAAGCUAAAAUGGCAAGAAAAAGCACUUUUCGUGACUUUAUAUGAGAUAUUGACAUCUUCAAAGUUGCUAUGAAAGAAA